AGGCAUCCCAACUCAACCCUACCUGAAGAAAUGAGACACUGUCAUUUGAUGGCUGCUUUUUUGGAGGCAAAGGAUUUAAGGACCACAAAAUCCUUGAAAAAAGAACAGGAAAGGCUCUUGAAAGAAGUGUAAAAGUAGCUAAUCAGUCAAGCCAAGCUGAUGGAAAUGAAGGGUGGCUGAAUCAGAUCCUUGCUCAUCCUGCAACAGCAUGACAUAGGAGAAGCAAAAGCAAAGGAUCCUGUGUCUUCUAACAGCUGUAGACUUGGAGCAGAGAAUAAAUGGCAGUAGUAUAUUUGGA